CCGGAGAAUCAGGCGAUCGCCUCGUUCCCUGUGGAACGGGGAGGAAAGUCCGAACUCCACAGAGCAAGGUGCCCGGAGUUAAUCCGGGACGCCCGCUGCGUAAGCGCCGGGCGAUGGAAAGUGUCGCAGAAACGAUACCGCCCCGAUUUUUCGGGGUAAGGGUGAAAUGGCGGGGUAAGAGCCCACCGGCCGGUAUGGUAACAUCCGGGACGGACAAACCCCUCCUGGAGCAAGGCCAAAUAGGGAAGGAUGCUUCGGCAACGAGGCUGCUCGUCUCGUUUUCCGCUUCGGCGGAAUACACUUCCGGGUAGGCCGCAUCAGAUAAAUGGUCGCCCCCUGCCAGGCAGGAGACAGAAUUCGGCUUAUCGAUUUUCCGGUCGU
rnacentral:RNase_P_RNA from 1 species